GACAGAGGGUGCAAACGUUGUUCGGAAUUACUGGGCGUAAAGCGCGUGUAGGCGGCCCUGCAAGUCGGAUGUGAAAUCCCACGGCUCAACCGUGGAAGUGCAUUCGAAACUGCAGGGCUAGAGUCCUGGAGAGGAAGGUGGAAUGCUUGGUGUAGAGGUGAAAUUCGUAGAUAUCAAGCGGAACACCGGUGGCGAAGGCGGCCUUCUGGACAGUGACUGACGCUGAGACGCGAAAGCGUGGGGAGCAACAGGG
rnacentral:rRNA from 1 species